rnacentral:rRNA from 1 species
GAUGAACGCUGGCGGCGUGCCUAAUACAUGCAAGUCGAGCGAACAGACGAGGAGCUUGCUCCUCUGACGUUAGCGGCGGACGGGUGAGUAACACGUGGAUAACCUACCUAUAAGACUGGGAUAACUUCGGGAAACCGGCGCUAAUACCGGAUAAUAUAUUGAACCGCAUGGUUCAAUAGUGAAAGACGGUUUUGCUGUCACUUAUAGAUGGAUCCGCGCCGCAUUAGCUAGUUGGUAAGGUAACGGCUUACCAAGGCAACGAUGCGUAGCCGACCUGAGAGGGUGAUCGGCCACACUGGAACUGAAACACGGUCCAGACUCCUACGGGAGGCAGCAGUAGGGAAUCUUCCGCAAUGGGCGAAAGCCUGACGGAGCAACGCCGCGUGAGUGAUGAAGGUCUUCGGAUCGUAAAACUCUGUUAUUAGGGAAGAACAAAUGUGUAAGUAACUAUGCACGUCUUGACGGUACCUAAUCAGAAAGCCACGGCUAACUACGUG